rnacentral:lncRNA from 1 species
UAUAUAUAUAUAUAUAGUGAGGCUGCUAUGCUUCUGGAAGCACGGAGCCUUCCGUUCUACGAGGUCGUUUUCAAUGUUGCGACUUUCGAAUCGUUGAUCGGCUCCGUUAAACUUAAUAUAGAGUAUUUGAAGUACCUAGAAAAUAAAUUUUGCAAUUUUUCGAUAUCAUUUGCCUAGUGAUCGUAGGGACUCAAAAUCAAUAAUUUUAAUGGCUAUGGUGAGCCGUUUGCAAGUUUAACGGUGUAGAAAUAUCCAAAUCACAUAAAAUUUUGAUAGAAAAUUCUUUAUACUAUAUAAAACAAGAUCAAUAUAUUUGAUCUAAAAUUUUAAUAUCAUAUUAUCACGUUUUGUAAGAUUUUAAUUUUCAGCCGUUGAUUUUGAGCCUCUUAGUUCAUUAGGCAAAUGAAAUCGAAAAAUUGUAAAAUUUAUUUUCUAGGUAUUUCAAAUACUCUAAAUCAAAUUUAACAGAGCCGAUCGACGAUUCAAAAAUCGCAACAUCCAAAACGACCUGAAAGCAUGAAAGACUUCGUACUUUCAGAAGCAUAAUAACCUCACUAUAUAUAUAUAUAUAUAUAUAUAUAUAUAUAUAUAUAGUUGGUAUACUGUGGGGACUAGUGCCCUCUCCAAAUGUCACUAGUGGGGACUCCAAUGCUAUUGCAUUCUAUUAUAAUAUUUCUAUCAUUUUCGCUAACAGACGUGUACGUGCCAGCAUUUUGCCCUGCUGCUGCUGCUGCUGCUGCCGCUGCUGCUGCUGCUGCUGCUGCUUCUUCUUCUUCUUUUGAAAGAUAGAAAGGUAGUAUACUAUUCAUUUUAUUUAUUUUUAUUUUAAAAAAAAUUCAGCAAAAAAUAUAAAUUAAUUAUGAUUCGAACUUGAUAUCUCGGGUAUUAACCAGCAACUAGUAAGUCGUUUACCACUUGUGCUAGCUAGGGACGGUCGACGUUAGGGAAAUAUGAAUCAACUAGCAUUCUGCACUGUUACGAAAGGCUACGUUAGGCCUAGUCACAUUUGGAAUGGCGUAAGGCUAAGUUGGACUGAGUCAUGUUCGAAGUAGUGUGAGGCUGGUCGGAUCGAAUCAUAAUCGAGAUCCGUGGAUGCUGUGUCUAUAUGUUUUAAGUGAAUAAAUUGUAUUUUUCUAAUAGCUUGAACUUUAGAUAUUAAUAGUUAGCGCCAAUGUUCUGACUGUAGUGAGUUCCUAAUAAGUAGUAUAUCCAAUUAAUUGGAAUAAAUUAGAUUCUAGAAAACCAAAGAUCGUUUCAAUUUUCUAGGUGCUAUAUCCAACAGAUAUCAUAUUGACCACUAUUAACGAUCAACUGGAAUCAAUCAAUAUCUUCGUAUCAUAUAUAUAUAUAUAUAGAGAGAGAGAGAGUGAGUUUUGCUAGAAUACUAUCAAUAGUAAAUGAGUUGUUUUACUAUCUAUUUGUUUUCGCUGAUAGAGCUUCCAAAUUGACGAUCGGCUCCGUUGAACAUGAUCUAUACCACUUGAAGUGUUUAGAAAUCAAAUUUUAAAUCUUUUCGACAUCAUUUGCCUAAUGAUCAAAGGGUUUCAAAAUUUGUAAUUUUAAUGGUCGAUAAGA